AUAAGCGGAGGAAAAGAAACCAACCGGGAUUGCCUCAGUAACGGCGAGUGAAGCGGCAAGAGCUCAAAUUUGAAAGCUGGCCCCUCCGGGGUCCGCAUUGUAAUUUGCAGAGGAUGCUUCGGGCUCAGCCCCCGUCUAAGUGCCCUGGAACGGGCCGUCGGAGAGGGUGAGAAUCCCGUCUGGGACGGGGUGCCUGGGUCCAUGUGAAGCUCCUUCGACGAGUCGAGUUGUUUGGGAAUGCAGCUCUAAAUGGGUGGUAAAUUUCAUCUAAAGCUAAAUACUGGCCGGAGACCGAUAGCGCACAAGUAGAGUGAUCGAAAGAUGAAAAGCACUUUGAAAAGAGAGUUAAACAGCACGUGAAAUUGUUGAAAGGGAAGCGCUUGCGAUCAGACUCGCCUGCGGGGUUCAGCCGGCAUUCGUGCCGGUGUACUUCCCCGUGGGCGGGCCAGCGUCGGUUCGGGUGGCCGGUCAAAGGCCCCGGGAAUGUGUCGCCCUCCGGGGCGUCUUAUAGCCCGGGGUGCCAUGCGGCCUACCUGGACCGAGGAACGCGCUUCGGCUCGGACGCUGGCGUAAUGGUCGUAAGCGACCCGUCUUGAAACACGGACCAAGGAGUCUAACAUCUACGCGAGUGUUUGGGUGGCAAACCCAUACGCGCAGUGAAAGCGAACGGAGGUGGGAACCCUUCGGGGCGCACCAUCGACCGAUCCUGAUGUCUUCGGAUGGAUUUGAGUAAGAGCGUAGCUGUGGGGACCCGAAAGAUGGUGAACUAUGCCUGAAUAGGGCGAAGCCAGAGGAAACUCUGGUGGAGGCUCGCAGCGGUUCUGACGUGCAAAUCGAUCGUCAAAUUUGGGUAUAGGGGCGAAAGACUAAUCGAACCAUCUGGUAGCUGGUUCCUGCCGAACCAUC
rnacentral:rRNA from 1 species